rnacentral:rRNA from 1 species
AUUGAACGCUGGCGGCAGGCUUAACACAUGCAAGUCGAGCGGAGAGAGGUAGCUUGCUACUGAUCUUAGCGGCGGACGGGUGAGUAAUGCUUAGGAAUCUGCCUAUUAGUGGGGGACAACAUUUCGAAAGGAAUGCUAAUACCGCAUACGUCCUACGGGAGAAAGCAGGGGAUCUUCGGACCUUGCGCUAAUAGAUGAGCCUAAGUCGGAUUAGCUAGUUGGUGGGGUAAAGGCCUACCAAGGCGACGAUCUGCAGCGGGUCUGAGAGGAUGAUCCGCCACACUGGGACUGAGACACGGCCCAGACUCCUACGGGAGGCGGCAGUGGGGAAUAUUGGACAAUGGGCGCAAGCCUGAUCCAGCCAUGCCGCGUGUGUGAAGAAGGCCUUAUGGUUGUAAAGCACUUUAAGCGAGGAGGAGGCUACUUUAGUUAAUACCUAGAGAUAGUGGACGUUACUCGCAGAAUAAGCACCGGCUAACUCUGUGCCAGCCGCCGCCGUAAUAC